UACGUAGGGUGCGAGCGUUGUCCGGAAUUACUGGGCGUAAAGAGCUCGUAGGUGGUUUGUCGCGUUGUCCGUGAAAACUCACAACUCAACUGUGGGCUUGCGGUCGAUACGGGCAGACUGGAGGUAUGCAGGGGAGAACGGAAUUCCUGGUGUAGCGGUGAAAUGCGCAGAUAUCAGGAGGAACACCGGUGGCGAAGGCGGUUCUCUGGGCAUGUCCUGACGCUGAGGAGCGAAAGUGUGGGGAGCGAACAGG
rnacentral:rRNA from 1 species